AAAUGCUCGACUGUGAUAUGUUGUUGCCCUUGAGGCGUGGCUUCCGGAGCUAACGCGUUAAGUCCACCGCCUGGGGAGUACGGCCGCAAGGUUAAAACUCAAAUGAAUUGACGGGGGCCCGCACAAGCGGUGGAACAUGUGGUUUAAUUCCAUGCAACGCGAAAAACCUUACCUACUCUUGACAUCCACAAAACUUUCCAGAAAUGGAUUGGUGCCUUCCGGAACUGUGAAACAGGUGCUGCAUGGCUGUCGUCAGCUCGUGUUGUGAAAUGUUGGGUUAAGUCCCGCAACGAACGCAACCCUUAUCCUUUGUUGCCAGCGCGUAAUGGCGGGAACUCCUAGGAAACUGCCGGUGAUCAACCGGAAGAAGGUGGGGAUGACGUCCAGUCAUCAUGGCCCUUACCAGUAGGGCUACACACGUGCUACAAUGGCAUAUACCAAAAGAAGCAAACUCGCGAAAGCAAGCGGACCUCAUAAAGUAUGUCCUAAUCCGGAACGGAAUCUGCAACUCCACUCCCUGAAAUCCGAAUCCCUAGUAAUCCUAAAACAAAAUGCUACGGUGAAUACAUUCCCCGGCCUUGUACACACCGCCCGUCACACCAUGGGAGUGGGUUGCAAAAGAAAUACGUAGCUUAACCUUCUGGAGGGCG
rnacentral:rRNA from 1 species